UACAGAGGUGGCAAGCGUUGUUCGGAAUUACUGGGCGUAAAGGGCGCGUAGGCGGCCUUCUAAGUCAGACGUGAAAUCCCCCGGCUUAACCUGGGAACUGCGUCUGAUACUGGGAGGCUUGAGUAUGGGAGAGGGAUGUAGAAUUCCAGGUGUAGCGGUGAAAUGCGUAGAUAUCAAGAGGAACACCUGAGGUGAAGACGGGUUGCUGGGCCGACACUGACGCUGAAGCGCGAAAGCCAGGGGAGCAAACGGG
rnacentral:rRNA from 1 species